rnacentral:rRNA from 1 species
UUGUCCUGUGACUGCGUACCUUUUGUAUAAUGGGUCAGCGACUUAUAUUCAGUGGCAAGGUUAACCAUCUAGGGGAGCCGUAGGGAAACCGAGUCUUAACUGGGCGUUCAGUCUCUGGAUAUAGACCCGAAACCAGGUGAUCUAGCCAUGGGCAGGUUGAAGGUUGAGUAACAUCAACUGGAGGACCGAACCGACUAAUGUUGAAAAAUUAGCGGAUGACUUGUGGCUAGGGGUGAAAGGCCAAUCAAACCUGGAGAUAGCUGGUUCUCCCCGAAAGCUAUUUAGGUAGCGCCUCGGACGAAUACUACUGGGGGUAGAGCACUGUUAAGGCUAGGGGGUCAUCCCGACUUACCAACCCUUUGCAAACUCCGAAUACCAGUAAGUACUAUCCGGGAGACACACGGCGGGUGCUAACGUCCGUCGUGGAGAGGGAAACAACCCAGACCGCCAGCUAAGGUCCCAAAUUACUACUAAGUGGGAAACGAUGUGGGAAGGCUCAGACAGCCAGGAUGUUGGCUUAGAAGCAGCCAUCAUUUAAAGAAAGCGUAAUAGCUCACUGGUCGAGUCGGCCUGCGCGGAAGAUGUAACGGGGCUAAGUAGUAAACCGAAGCUGCGGCAAUAUACUUUUGUAUAUUGGGUAGGGGAGCGUUCUGUAAGCGGUUGAAGGUGUGUGGUAACGCAUGCUGGACGUAUCAGAAGUGCGAAUGCUGACAUGAGUAACGAUAAAGGGGGUGAAAAACCUCCUCGCCGGAAGACCAAGGGUUCCUGUCCAACGUUAAUCGGGGCAGGGUAAGUCGACCCCUAAGGCGAGGCCGAAAGGCGUAGUCGAUGGGAAACGGG